UGGGGAAUUUUCCGCAAUGGGCGAAAGCCUGACGGAGCAAUACCGCGUGAGGGAUGAAGGCCUGUGGGUUGUAAACCUCUUUUCUCAAGGAAGAAUCUAUGACGGUACUUGAGGAAUAAGCAUCGGCUAACUCUGUGCCAGCAGCCGCGGUAAUACAGAGGAUGCAAGCGUUAUCCGGAAUCACUGGGCAUAAAGCGUCUGUAGGUGGCUUACUAAGUCUGCUGUUAAAGACUAGGGCCCAACCCUAGAAAAGCAGUGGAAACUAGUUCGCUCGAGUAUGGUAGAGGUGGAGGGAAUUCCUAGUGUAGCGGUGAAAUGCGUAGAUAUUAGGAAGAACACCAACGGCGAAAGCACUCCACUGGGCCACAACUGACACUGAGAGACGACAGCUAGGGGAGCAAAUGGG
rnacentral:rRNA from 1 species